rnacentral:lncRNA from 1 species
GAAAAAGCUAAUGAAAAAUGAAAAGAAUAGAGGUAGAGAAUAAGGCAAGGCAAAUGAGAGAAGAGGAGGGAAAGUUUUUCAAAAAAGUUAUAGAGAGAGGGAGAUAGAGAGACAUAGUUUUCAAGAAAAAAAACUUUUUUGAAUUAAAGAGGGAAGGGUCUAAAAGGAAAAUGAAAAUAAGAGUGAGAGGGAAAAUUUUCUAGAAAAAUUAAAGAAAAAGUUGUAUUUCCCCAACACCUUUUAUGGAAAAUAGAGGGAUUAAUUAGCAUUAAAUAGAAAAGAUAUUUCUUUUAUGGAAAAUUGUGUUUGCACGCUAAAAUGUUUUCUUUCAUUUUUUUUGGAAAAUUCUCUAUCUCUCUCUCUCUCUCAUUUUUCAUUUUCCUUUUAGACAUUUCCCUCUCUCAUUAAAAAAAGUUUUUUUUUUGGAAAACUCUCCCUCUCCCUAUAACUUUUUUAGAAAACUUUCAUUCUCUUUCUUUCAUUUACCAUGCAUUCUUCUCUUCCUCUCUUCUUUUCAUUUUUCAUUAGCUUUUUUGAAUCAAGGCUAACGGUAAAGAAAGAGAUAUAAGACAAUAAAAAUGGAGGAAGACGGAGAAACAAAGAUUGAAGAUCGAUGACGCCAAUCUAAUUAGCGCCACCCAAAAAUUUUUCUGCCUUCUAUGAAAUACUAUUAUUUAUACGGCCGAAUACAUUGCACCACCCAAAAAAAAUUAUUUUUUAUUCUCCGGCCAAUCAUUGGCUGAUGUGCCAGGGUGGUGACGCCAAUCUUAUUGGCACCAUCCAUGUUCACUGUUCAUUUCAAGUCAUUUAUGCACUUAGUUGAAAAAGUGAGUCAUUUUUGUAAAUAAUCAAAAAAAUUAGGUCAUUUUAGUAAAAAAAUUGAGAAAAGGCAACCUUGCAAAAAUAAUAUGGCAUCCAACAGCAUUAGCGCCACCGAUCUAAUCAAGAUGGGAUAAGGCUGGAUACAUGAUUGACUACCAAAAGGUUGGUGGUGGUCUAUUAUUUUGCUUGAGAGAAUCAAAGAACCCAAAAAUCAAUGAGCUGCUAAUGAGACCUCAAAGAGAAGCCAAUCAUAACCUCGACCUAAAUAGGCUGAGCAGCACCAUCUCACAGUCUGUUGAUGGUUAAAGACAAUCAAGAUUCGACAAAGAAAGAAAAGGAAAUAACAGUAGAAGGAAAAAGAAAACUAGAGGAAAAGGCUCCAAACUUUCCAAGUCGGAGAGAAUGAUAGAGAUGGAGGGUAGGCCGAUGGUGCAAGUGUCACAGGGCUAGAACUUUAGUCUGGCAAACCGUGCAACCUUCAGCGGUUUCUUAAAUGAUUUGAUUACAUAGAAAGUGACAUUCUUUAGAUCUUAUGCAUGUUUUGAGUUAUAUAUAGGAAUGUAUAUGAUAUUAGAUAUUUAUUAUAUAAUUGUUUUUUGUCGAGGUUGUGGUUCUUAGGAAAUAGACCGUGAACUAUCAUAUCCACGUAGAGCUAUAUUUUUUAAAAAUUCUUAGAAUUCUUGUGAGUCAAAACAGACAUAGGACUUAAAUGCAAUUUUCCCAAAAGAAAUCCAUGACGAGGAAAAGAUGUGAUGGCGGUUGAAGACCCAAGGGAUGCAUUAUGGUGAAAAAUUAUGUAAUUUUAUUUUUCCAUUUAUUUUCUAGAAAUAUAACCAUGGAAACCUUGGCUAACAAUUUUAUUUGAAU